UAAGGAAUAUUGGUCAAUGGACGCAAGUCUGAACCAGCCAUGCCGCGUGACGGAUGAAGGUCCUCUGGAUUGUAAACUUCUUUUACCUGGGACGAAAACGGGAUUUUUAUCUCAAUUGACGGUACCAGAGGAAUAAGCACCGGCUAACUCCGUGCCAGCAGCCGCGGUCAUACGGCGGGUGCGAGCGUUCUCCGGAUUUACUGGGUUUAAAGGGUGCGUAGGUGGGCUUAUAAGUCAGUGGUGAAAUCUCCGAGCUUAACUUGGAAACUGCCGUUGAUACUAUAGGUCUUGAAUUAUCUGGAGGUAAGCGGAAUAUGUCAUGUAGCGGUGAAAUGCUUAGAUAUGACAUAGAACACCCAUUACGAAGGCAGCUUACUACAUAUAAAUUGACGCUGAGGCACGAAAGCGU
rnacentral:rRNA from 1 species